rnacentral:rRNA from 1 species
AAAGGAAUAGACGGGGGCCCGCACAAGCGGUGGAGUAUGUGGUUUAAUUCGAAGCAACGCGAAGAACCUUACCAAGUUUUGACAUACCAUUGGAUAUUUUAGAAAUAAGAUAGACCUUUCGGGGGCAAUGGAUACAGGUGGUGCAUGGUUGUCGUCAGCUCGUGUCGUGAGAUGUUGGGUUAAGUCCCGCAACGAGCGCAACCCUUGCAGAUAGUAGCUAGCAGGUUAAGCUGAGCACUCUAGAUGGACUGCCGUGGCUAACACGGAGGAAGGUGGGGAUGAGGUCAAAUCAUCAUGCCCCUUAUAACUUGGGCUACACACGUACUACAAUGGGAGUUACAAAGCGAGGCGAAGUAGCGAUAUGGAGCGAAGCGCAUAAAGACUUUCACAGUUCGGAUUAUAGUCUGCAACUCGACUAUAUGAAGAUGGAAUCGCUAGUAAUCGCGGAUCAGAAUGUCGCGGUGAAUACGUUCCCGGGCCUUGUACACACCGCCCGU